rnacentral:snoRNA from 13 species
CCGCAGACAAUUAAGCCGACUGGCCCCUGCCUCUGUCGAGGGCCAGUGUGCAAUGGCUGCGCACAGCAAACUCCUCGGUUGUGUACGUGCCCCGUUCCCUGUAUGGGGCGCCCUAAGGGACCUUGGAAACAGCA